rnacentral:lncRNA from 13 species
AUGAGUGCGUCGAGGGCGAGUCGGGCCUCAUCGACGAAACGAAGGAGACUGUGGGGGAGGGUCACGUGUGUAUACACUGUAGGGUUCAGUACCACUCAGUUCGUAAAGAGGAUACGACGUUUGUUACAAGUCAACACCAAAUGUAAUUACAGAGAAAUGUCAGUGGAAGUACAGCAAAACCCGAUGCCUCCGUAGACUUGUCGCCGUGCCAAAUCUGUACUUUUCUGGUGAGUUUUCCUAAAAUGUUUGUAUAAUUUUUUUCAGCAGACUGCAUAUUGACUUCCACGCAAACACAUUUCCUAUCUAUGUUCGGACGAAAGCAUUGACUUUACUGUUUAAUUUGGCUGUAGAAUAAAUAGGUAGGCUAUGAUAAAAUAUAGCGUGUGUUUGAAUGUAGUGGUCAACAAUAGCCUCGCAGGUGUUAUGUCAUCUAUAGUUUUAUCGAUGACAGUUCUCCUCGCUUAGCUCCCAAUGGUCGGUAGCACCCAUAGCAAACCGGCGCCGAAUAGGUUACAAGCAAAUGGAUGCAAUUUAUCCGCGAGUCUAGAUUCUGUAACCGAUAUAAUGAUACAUUGCUUUUAGUUUAGCAGGAUGUAUGGCAUUAGACAGUUAAACAAUUACUUUUUCGUAACUUAUUGAACAGCUUUAAGAAACAGAAACACACAGCUGACUGUUAAAUACUUUGUCUAAAUUAACACUAUCCCAUACAUACAUGUGUUCAUAUAACAUUUGAUUUGAUAGCCAACAUUUAAUUGACUGAUUUGCAGUGAUCACAGAACUCAGAAGCAUUUAUGUGCUUUAAUGUUUCUGGAAACACUUGCACAAAUACCCUAUUACCAGCAAUCUAAUUCAUACAUAGGUAGAUCAUACUGUGUCUAUCAUCAACAACAUUGAUUUGAAGGACGAUGUAAUUUACAAACAUAUGAACAUUUUACAUGAACCUACCGUUAAAGUCAGUCUGGUCUCAUAGACUAGACAUAGUAAAUGUAAAUCCGGGACACUCGAAUGAGUAUGAUAAGCUGCAUGACCAAAAGUAUGUGAACACCUGCUCGUUGAACAUCUAAUUCCAAAAUCAUGGACAUUAGUAGGGAGUUGCUCCUCCCUUUGCUGCUAAAACAGUCUCCACUCUUCUGGGAAGACUUUGCACUAGAUGUUGGAACAUUGCUACAGGGACUUGCUUCUUCUAUUCAGCCACAAGAGCAUUAGUGAGGUCGGGCACUGAUGUUGGGUGAUUAGGCCUGGCUCGCAGUUGGUGUUCCAAUUCAUCCCAAAGGUGUUCGAUGGGGUUGAGGUCAGGGCUCUGUGCAGACCAGUCAAGUUCUUUCAUACCGAUCUCGAUAAAACAUUUCUGUAUGGACCUCACUUUGUGCAUGCGGGCAUUAUCAUGUUGACACAGGAAAGGGCCUUCCCCAAUCUGUUGCCACAAA